rnacentral:ncRNA from 1 species
UGUUUCUACUAGGGGAGCCCGAUGGCGGCUGAGACAACGACCCUUAGAACCUGAUCUGGUUUGUACCAGCGGAGGGAAGUGGAAAACUACUUAA